rnacentral:rRNA from 1 species
UACGUAGGGGGCUAGCGUUGUCCGGAAUCAUUGGGCGUAAAGAGCGUGUAGGCGGUCCGGCAAGUCCGCUGUGAAAGUCGGGGGCUCAACCCUCGAAUGCCGGUGGAUACUGUCGGGCUAGAGUGCGGAAGAGGCGAGUGGAAUUCCUGGUGUAGCGGUGAAAUGCGCAGAUAUCAGGAGGAACACCGGUGGCGAAGGCGGGUCUCUGGGCAACAACUGACGCUGAGGAGCGAAAGCGUGGGGAGCGAACAGG